GAUGAACGCUAGCGGCAGGCUUAAUACAUGCAAGUCGAGGGGCAGCAUGAUUGUAGCAAUACAAUUGAUGGCGACCGGCAAACGGGUGCGGAACACGUACACAACCUUCCAACAAGUGGGGGAUAGCCCAGAGAAAUUUGGAUUAAUACCCCGUAACAUAGCGAUGUGGCAUCACAUUGCUAUUAUAGAUUUUUCGCUUGUUGAUGGGUGUGCGGCUAAUUAGAUAGUUGGCGGGGUAACGGCCCACCAAGUCUACGAUCAGUAGCUGAUGUGAGAGCAUGAUCAGCCACACGGGCACUGAGACACGGGCCCGACUCCUACGGGAGCCAGCAGUAAGGAAUAUUGGACAAUGGACGCAAGUCUGAUCCAGCCAUGCCGCGUGAAGGAUUAAGGUCCUCUGGAUUGUAAACUUCUUUUAUAAGGGACGAAAAAAGGCUUUUCUAAGUCGUCUGACGGUACCUUAUGAAUAAGCACCGGCUAACUCCGUGCCAGCAGCCGCAGUAAUAC
rnacentral:rRNA from 1 species